rnacentral:rRNA from 1 species
UGGGCGCUUUGCGUUUGGGUUGGUUAGUGGCGAACGGGUGAGUAACACGUGAGUAACCUGCCCCCUUCUUCGGGAUAACGUUCGGAAACGGAUGCUAAUACCGGGUAUUUACCUCGCAUCGCAUGGUGUGGGGUGGAAAGGUUUUUUCUGGUGGGGGAUGGGCUCGCGGCCUAUCAGCUUGUUGGUGGGGUGAUGGCCUACCAAGGCUUUGACGGGUAACCGGCCUGAGAGGGUGACCGGUCACAUAUGGGACUGAGAUACGGCCCAGACUCAUACGGGAGGCAGCAGUGGGGAAUUNUGCACAAUGGGCGAAAGCCUGAUGCAGCGACGCCGCGUGAGGGAUGACGGCCUUCGGGUUGUAAACCUCUUUCGCUCAUGGUCAAGGCUAGUUUUUGUUCUAGUUGAGGGUAGUGGGUAAAGAAGCGCCGGCUAACUACGUGCCAGCAGCCGCGGUAAUACGUAGGGCGCGAGCGUUGUCCGGAAUUAUUGGGCGUAAAGGGCUUGUAGGCGGCUUGUCGCGUCUUGCCGUGAAAACCCACAGCUUAACUGUGGGCUUGCCGGUGGGUACCGGGCUGGCUUGAGUGCGGUAGGGGAGACUGGAAUUCCUGGUGUAGCGGUGGAAUGCGCAGAUAUCAAGGAGGAACACCGGUGGCGAAGGCGGGUCUCUGGGCCGUUACUGACGCUGAAGAGCCAAAGC